rnacentral:rRNA from 1 species
AGGAGUUUGAUCCUGGCUCAUAUUGAACGCUGGCGGCAUGCUUAACGCAUGCAAGUCGAACGGUAGCAGGACGCUAGGAUCCCUUCGGGGUGACUUUGUCGCUGACGAGUGGCGGACGGGUGAGUAAUACUUAGGAAUCUACCCAGUAGCGGGGGAUAACUCGAAGAAAUUCGAGCUAAUACCGCAUACGACCUACGGGUGAAAGCGGGGGACCUUCGGGCCUCGCACUAUUGGAUGAGCCUAAGUCGGAUUAGCUAGUUGGUAGGGUAAAAGCCUACCAAGGCAACGAUCCGUAGCUGGUCUGAGAGGAUGAUCAGCCACACUGGGACUGAGACACGGCCCAUACUCCUACGGGAGGCAGCAGUGGGGAAUAUUGGACAAUGGGCGCAAGCCUGAUCCAGCAAUGCCGCGUGUGUGAAGAAGGCCUGCGGGUUGUAAAGCACUUUUAUUAGGAAAGAAAAACCCGGAGUUAAUAGCUCCGGCAUUGACGGUACCUAAAGAAUAAGCACCGGCUAACUCAGUGCCAGCAGCCGCGGUAAUACUGAGGGUGCGAGCGUUAAUCGGAAUUACUGGGCGUAAAGCGAGUGUAGGCGGCUACCUAAAUCGGAUGUGAAAGCCCUGGGCUCAACCUGGGAAUUGCAUUCUAAACUGACUAGCUAGAGUCUGAUAUAGGGCAGUGCAAUUCCGGGUGUAGCGGUG